CGUGCUUUUUGUUUUUUGUUUUUUUGUUUUUUGCCUAUUCCUCCCAACAAAGAUCAUCCAAACUAAACCCAUUGUAGUAUAAACCCUCGUCAUCGACCCAGCCUAUCCUGAUGGAUGAAGAAGUCCUUGAGUUCUUGCAGCACCGAUUUCUGGCUAAUUGUUGUGUAGAGUCGGCUUUUCGACCUCCGAAAUGGUAUAUGUUCUUUGCAAACUCACCAUGUAAGAAUUGAUGUUUCAGGCUGAUGGAUGGACAAGGCACAUACCAUCCAAAGCUGCAUGGAAUGUCUUGUGACUCAGACGUUUUAGCUGCAAUCGAAUACGUCCGGUUAUGCUGCUGGAGAAAGGUCAUUCUCAUUGCCAGAUUAUCAGCUUCUGUAGUCAGAGAUUUUGGCAUGCAGUGCAACAACUUGAGAUAGAACAACGUUAAGUAUGAAGGGCCUAUUUGUCUUGAGCUCAAAUGCUAUGCUAAAUAUGAUAUUUUUUACAUGCAACAACUUGAGAUUAUCUUGAUGUAGAACAUGAACAACCUUGAUGAUACCUUUGAGCUAAAAUGCUACUGAUACUCUGGU
rnacentral:sRNA from 1 species